rnacentral:lncRNA from 1 species
AGAGGCUUACCAUUGCAACGAAACAGGGAGGAAGUGGAGAGGAAGUGGAGAGGAAGUAGAGAAGAAAGAAAGAGUGAGCGCUCGGGGUGUAUAUAUAAGAUUACAUUCCGUCGCAAAUUCCUCGUAAUUUUACGACGAAUUACAGAGCCCGUGUUUUUUUUACUACGAAACAGCGAGAGAUUACAAAGGCCCGCGUUUUAUUAUACGAGGAAGUUACGAGGAAUUACAAAGGCCCGUGUUUUUUAGAUACAGGGACUUUACGACGAUUAUGCUUACGUGGAAUUACCGAGGAAAGCUUCCCUAUAAAUAUACCCGUAACUCUCCUUCUCAACCCACACCCAAACUCCCAAAUCACACUCUAUCUCACAUCAUACUCUCAAAUCCAAUCCUAUUCAAAUUAUAAAAAUUUGAGAAAAAAGGAAGAGAAGAAGAUAUUGGAAUUUA